UACGGGGGGGAGCAAGCGUUGUUCGGAUUUACUGGGCGUAAAGGGCGCGUAGGCGGCCUCUGCAAGUCGACUGUGAAAUCUCCGGGCUUAACCCGGAAAGGUCAGCCGAUACUGCAGGGCUAGAGUGCAGAAGGGGCAACUGGAAUUCUCGGUGUAGCGGUGAAAUGCGUAGAUAUCAGGAGGAACACCAAUGGGCGAAGGCAGCUCGCUGGAACGGUACUGACGCUGAGGCGCGAAAGCGUGGGGAGCAAACAGG
rnacentral:rRNA from 1 species